rnacentral:rRNA from 1 species
GAUGAACGCUAGCGGCAGGCUUAAUACAUGCAAGUCGAGGGGCAGCAGGGCUGUAGCAAUACAGUUGCUGGCGACCGGCAAACGGGUGCGGAACACGUACGCAACUUACCCUUGUCUGGGGCAUAGCCCACCGAAAGGUGGAUUAACUCCCCAUAAGAUAGUGGUGUGGCAUCACACAGCUAUUAAAACUUUGGUGGACAAGGAUGGGCGUGCGGCUGAUUAGGUAGUUGGUGUGGGUAACGGCCCACCAAGCCUGCGAUCAGUAACUGGUGUGAGGGCACGACCAGUCCCACGGGACCUGAGACACGGGCCCGACUCCUACGGGAGGCAGCAGUAAGGAAUAUUGGUCAAUGGAGGCAACUCUGAACCAGCCAUGCCGCGUGGAGGAUGAAGGCCCUCUGGGUUGUAAACUUCUUUUACAGGGGACGAAACACUUCUAUUCUUAGGAGCUUGACGGUACCCUGGGAAUAAGCACCGGCUAACUCCGUGCCAGCAGCCGCCGUAAAAC